AUGAACCUGCAACAGUUGCAGGUGCGUGAAGAUGUUGAUCCCACUAGAGCAGACAUUAACACGAACUCAAGCACAGGCGGGUAUGAAGAAGGAGAUAGAGAGGAACAAGAAGACUCACUUGCACAAGAUGGAGACGACGUAUAUCUUGAUGAAGAAGACAUUGAGAAGUUCUUGCAAAAUGAACAAGAUGCAGCAUCAGAAGGGAAUCUCAUGAACACUAGCAGUAAUUUCAAGCCGCAUCUAGGCAUGCAAUUCAAAACAAAGGAAGAAGCACAGGAGUAUUUCAAUUUCUACUCAAAAGUGGCAGGCUUUUCAGUGGCUAUAGUUGCAAUCUCAAGAACAACAAGCAAAAAAGGAACAAUGAGGUAA
rnacentral:rRNA from 1 species